rnacentral:lncRNA from 1 species
UCCCGCGCUGGGGCUGCGUUUUGCUGGCUGCGGAAACGUCACUGCAGCCCAGAAAACGCCACUAAGUCCUGUUACUCGAGCAAUAACGGGGUUGCAGCCGAUAAUUAGGCAGAGGAACUGGCUGCUUUGCGCGGUUUCCAUUACUUUUAUCCUCUCCUCCGCGUGAGCUGAGCUCUCUCCAUCGUUCUUUUGCGGUGGAGGCAGGGUAGGGUUUUAAAUAGAAAUAAAUCCCUUUUCACAUCAGUUUUGCAUCAGAAAGGCUUUGUGCUAAAAUGCCUCGGCUCCGAGGGGAAGGUCUGCGGCGUUACCCUUGCUUAUUAUGGAAACAUCUGCAGGCCCCGGCCCCGCUCAGGAUGCGCGGUGCUCAGCUGGGCUCAGCACACGCGCACACCCCCCGCUGCAACGUGAGCACAGUGCCAGGGACCACGGGAGAAGGGAAACAUUGCUAAAAAUCGCUGCUGACACAGAAGUCCCGGCAUGUCUGGGCAGCUCUGACGGGGCCUUAGUUGCAACAUGGGAAGGAAAAACCUGAAUUUAUCGGGUGCAUCAGGCAGCGAAUGAAUGUCCACAGGAGCCCGGAGGAUCUCGGGGUAAGAGGUGGGGGACCCGCCUCGAGCUGGGAGCGCACGGGAGCGAAGCCACAGCAGUCGGACCUAGCUCCUCC